rnacentral:rRNA from 1 species
GACGAACGCUGGCGGCGUGCUUAACACAUGCAAGUCGAACGGUGAAGCGCCUUCCUUUUUGGUGGGUGUGGAUGAGUGGCGAACGGGUGAGUAACACGUGAGUAACCUGCCCCCUUCUUCUGGAUAACCGCAUGAAAGUGUGGCUAAUACGGGAUAUUCUGGGUCUGUCGCAUGAUGGGUCUGGGAAAGAUAUUGUUUCGGUGGGGGAUGGGCUCGCGGCCUAUCAGCUUGUUGGUGGGGUGAUGGCCUACCAAGGCGGUGACGGGUAGCCGGCCUGAGAGGGUGGACGGUCACACUGGGACUGAGACACGGCCCAGACUCCUACGGGAGGCAGCAGUGGGGAAUAUUGCACAAUGGGCGCAAGCCUGAUGCAGCGACGCCGCGGGAGGGAUGGAGGCCUUCGGGUUGCGAACCUCUUUCGCCAGUGAAGCAGGCCUGCCUCGUUUGUGGGUGGGUUGACGGUAGCUGGAUAAGAAGCGCCGGCUAACUACGUG